CUGAAAGCAUGUUUGUCUCCAUUUUUAUUGAAGAAGAUGAUUUGUAGCAAGAUCUAUUAAUUUAAUGUCAUCAAUGCAUUUUAAUCUCUUCUCCCAUUUAUCCGCCUAUCAAUAAUUACUUCCUUCAAAAUGUGGUCAAAAACCCCACAUAUGAUGUCAAAAGGAUUCACUAGCUUGUUUUGGUGGCUAGCUUCUUCAGCUAAUGGAUGACACAGAGAAAUACCUGAAUCUAUCCUGUGUCUGUGAGCACCAAAUUCCUAGAUUGCAAGACCAGCCUAAUUCUUUGCUCUGCUGGAAGUCAUCUUAAGAG